UAAAGCUCACGCCUCACUCCUCCACCCUUUUCUGUCUUCAACGCCACCAUUGGCUUCAACUCCAUUAAAUCAGGUUGGACAACUGAUCGCACUGUAAUUUGUUGACUUCACUACUCUCAAAAGGCUAUAACUUAAGCAGCAUGUUUUUGCUACCAUAGAAAGAGAGAUCUGAUCCAGAUCUAGUUUCUUUCCAUUUUCUUCUACCAGAAAAUGGCCCAACCUUUCAUCAUUUUUGGGAGGCUUGGCAAUUUACUAAUUGUGGAGGAUAAAUUUUGUUUUGAUGCGAAUGACCCGGUGCAUCAUUUGGAAACUGUUAUGAAAAAUGACGGUGCUCAAAGUGUCAUGAGUGGAAGAAUAUGUGAUAUUGGUAUGGGCGGCAUAGGAAAUAUUACUACCUUCGUGCUCUGUUUCUAAGGGGAAAUACAUUCACUUCUCAAGGCCAAAGAAAUUGAUAUUGUUAUGGAUAGCAGAAGGAUUCAGAGAGAAAGUUAGAAACAAGAGCCUAAAGGAUGUGACUCUGUCAUUGGAUUAUCUAAUGGAUCUAAUAAAUAGUAACUCUAUUUAAGUUGCCAAAAGAAGAUCUGACGGUGGAGUCAAAACUUGUAAUAUUAAUUAUUUUAUUAUACGUGCUUAAAAAUAGUUAAAGAAAGAAAUUUGAAUAUAUGAGUGGAGUCAAAAGUUGUAUAAGAAUGAUAAUAUUGUAUCAAGAGUGUUUAAGAAUAGGCGAAGAUGGAAAUUCGAAUGUAUGAUGCAAAAGUUGUAUAAGAAUGAUAAUAUUGUAUAAAUGAUAUAUUGUAUGACGUGCUUAAAAAUAGUUGAAGAAGGAAGUCUAGUUUAUGUUAAUCUAGUAGUUAGUUUUUUCUUUUUAACUGUUGCUUCUUUUUCUUCCUCGUAUAUAUUUUAACCUACUGAUUAGUGUUGAUCA